CAAGAACGGAAAGCCAGAUUCGCCGUUCAACAAAAAUUAAAAGAAGCCCACGACGCUUUGCAUCAUUUUUCUUGUAAAAUGUUGGCUUCUCGUCAUUGUGCUGAAUGCGGUUAUAAACCUGUGUUACCAGAAUGAGUUACACAAAUGAUAAGUAACAUUCACAUGUCGACAGAACAAAGACGGAAGAACGUCGUGUUCAAAUGCCAUACGUAGUGUUCACGUGGUAUACCGACUUUUGCUUAGGAGAGCACGCAAUGUAUAAUACUCUGGAAGUGUCUUUUAAUGUCCAGUUGUACAUAAAAGUGUACAGAAUAGAAGAAAGGAAGCAGCCACCGUAACAAAACAUUGUAUAAAUAUAUUUAUUCUGUAUUAUUUUACGCUUUACCAUUCCGAUACGAAGAUUUAUAGUGACAGUUAUACCGCUCCUAAAUUAUUCGUAACAAACAAAAAAAAAAAAAAAAAAAGAAACGAAAA